UCGGAAUUCUUAUUUGAAAGUGUGUUUCUCAAAACAUCUCCAAAUUAAUGCCAUUCUUGACAAUUGACUUGGCUGCAAUCUAAUUGGUUGGUCAAAUCUGCCAAAGAUUGUGUUUCUUGUGGAUGGUGGAGAUUUAUCUUGGUGGAUCAAUGGCUGGGAUUUAACUUGGAAAUUAAUAUGACUUUUGGAGAGAGAAAAAGGACAGCAGACUUUUUCAUUUUCUUUGGCUGAGUUACAGUUUUUUUCCCUUUUCCUCUCUCUGGCGAUUUUCUUCUCCUCUUUCUGGUUUCACUUUGAUAUACACUUCUCAGUUAAAUCCUGGUUUUAGAUUAGUCCUUGUAAUAUCAUGAUGCUACAGUAACUCGAGGCGUGAUUCUGAGCCUCUGCUAUUUUCGGUUUUGUUUACUGUUGGCUAGGGCUAAGUGUUGUGAAAAGGAUUUAUGUUUGGUUUCGUAGAUCUGUUGAUCGAUGAUCGAAACUUGUGUAUUCUGAGUGGUUUGAUGUAACUUUGGUUCUCUUGGACGGCGAUUUGCAUAGUGGAACGGGUUCAGUUCUUGAGCCCCCCAGAUUAGGCCCCGUUUGGCCGAACUGGGUCACCAACUCUGAUGUUCUAUCGGUUUUUCGAUUUUAUUUUGAGCACUUAAUUUACAGUGUUAGAUUAUAGGUUUUUUAAUCAUCAGCUUGUAUCCC
rnacentral:lncRNA from 1 species